ACGAUUUAUACACCCUAAGGAACCCUGAAAAAUCAAAUUCUUCUUUUUCUUCAUCUAAUCAGAAAUGGACUACGGCAAAGAAGGCAUGGAGGAUUUCAGAGUUAUCAUAAGUAUUGGUGCUGAUCGUUAAUACACUGGUCCAAGAGUUAUGACGACUGUUGGGGACCAAUAUGUGUUGCGUAAGUGGUCUUCUUUUUGCUUCUUCUUUUUCUCUUUUUGAUAUGAAGUAAAUUUGGCAGUGCCUCCAUUUUUAAAUUGUUUAUAUCACUGCCUAUAAUUCCUUUUCAUAAAUAGAUUUUAGAACCAUGUAAUUCGUCUAUCUUUUUGUCCAGUAUUGGGAAAGGAUAAUUUUCUUUAUGAUUUAUUGCAUUUGAGUCCCCUGCUAUAACAGGACUGAUAGAUUUUAUCCUUCUUUUUUUACUUUCAAGGCUGGUGAAUGGUUGUUUUGUGUAAUGUAAUUAUUUAGAAUAUGUUGUCUUUGUUUCUCCUUGUAUCAGCGUUUUGCUCUGCUUUUGUUGUUUGUGCACAUCUUAGUGUCAAGUUGGCUUUAGAGUAUCCAACAGAUAAUCAAAGACGUCUUAAUAAAACUCGUGAACUAAAGCCAAAUUUUAACAUGGGGCCUUGAUUUUUUUUAUCUAUAGUAUAGUUAUCUUGCAAAAAUAAUAUUAAUAUUACCUUGGUUCCUUUUUUUUGUAUAUAGUGUAGUUAUCUUAUAAAAUAUAAUAUUAAUAUGCCCAUUGGUAAGAAAAUUCAAGUUAAUAAGAUGUUAGCCACGUAUUUACAUUUGGUUAUCUUGGAUCUUAUUGUAAAAAAAUAUUAUUUACAAUAUGAAGAUUUGAGUAUCUUAAUUCAAAGUUCUAAAAUAUUUCUAUUGUUAAAAAUAGAUAGUCUUUCUUUUUAUUUUUAUAAGGAUUUAGUAUUAUUUUUUUCUAUAAACUUCAAUAUUAUCUAAGCGAUAUAGUAAAUCCACAACUAAAAAUAUUUUCGGGGCCCCAAAAUUUAGGGGGCUUUAGCCUCCCCCUUGAGUCACCCCUGCAGAUAAUGAUGCUAUUGACUUCUCAAAGUCUGAACUGGUGGAGUGUGUUUCGAGGGCAAAUUCUACCCUCCUGCUUAAACAUGCUUAUCCUUACAUUAUGGAUAAGGGAUUGCAUAGGGAGACUGAGUAUCCCUAUUUUGGCCAUUACAUACGACCAUGCAUGUGUCCUUUGAAUAAGGCUUCCCGAAAAUUGGAAUUUCGGAUUGGGAGUAUCUAGAGGAGUAUGAAGUGACUGAUGCUUUGGAUCUUGAGCCUGUUACUACUUCAAUUGAUGUUUAUCCAUCCUUGCUUACCCAUCACAGAAUGGCUGUUUGGUACCCUAGGCCAGUUGAGCUCCCCAUUUUGGUUCCGGGUUCAGACAAAAUUCAACGCCAUGCCCUUCUCCUUACGGGGUAUGGUGUAGACACAUUUGUCAUUCCCUUUUACAUUGGGAAGGGCGCUUGGACAGUUGAUUCUUGGAUGAACGGGUACAUUCGAGUUUGUCGUGACUUCGUGAAAUUUGCUGCGAAGAUUAGGGGUCAGGUAUUUUGGAGGGUUUAAAGAUGGAAUUAGAGAAUUUUUAUAAGUGAAUUUUGUUAUGUAAACAUUUAGGCCCAAAUGUUGAAAUUGAUGUCCCCUUAGUAUUAGAAGCAAGUGAUACAAAGACAACUUAGUACAUACAAAGUCAACUUAAUAUUUGUAAAAAGUUUAAAGUCCAUCAUACAAUUUUUCCACUGUUAUACUCAAAGGAAAUAUCUACCAACCUUUAAAUUGUG